AUUUGGUAUGGAUCGGAUUAAUAGUUUUUUAGUCUCCAUGUCCAUCGCAACUGAUGCUUAAAAAAAGGUGCUACUGGAAUACAGCUGGAGUUGCGUCAUUUUGAGAAAUUUUUUGAUAAAAAAAAUUGUAAAGGUACAUGAUCAUAUGUACUAACGAAUGUCGUUCACAGGUUUUUAACAAACAUUUAUUUUCUUGUCGAAAAAAAGUCGAGAAAAUCACGUUUUUUCGGCCACUGCGAGUGUAUAAAAGGCCUUAAAUUUGCCUUCGAGAGAAGCCCCAAAAUAUAAGUAUACAAAUUGCUAAGUUAGAAGACCCCUUGCGACGAUGGGAGACAAAGAUUCGGUUCUCUGGGACCAGCACGAGAGUGGACAAUGGACCGCAAUGUCACGAGAUAGGAGCUUCGGUUUUUUUCUCUCCUUAAAGACCGCCGGAGAGUCCUCGACCUCGCAUCAAAUCUUGUCCAUAGUAUAUGACAAAGGCUUUUGAGAACGAAGCUACAAGAAGGCUGAAUACGCUUUCGAACAGCCACGAAGACUCCAAGGAAAUUCACCGUUGAUACGGCUUUUCGGAUCCUGAGCGAUUCUAUUUUGUGUGAAUCGAACAUCGCGUUCAAAAUAGAUAAAAGAGACCACGAGGAUAGAGGGAAGACUGGAGUGAAAAAGCUCCUUUUAGAAUCUUCACACACGCCGCGUUUACAAAUCCACCAGCAGAAACAUCUCUCUACCUAAAUUCAAAUCUACAAAGCAAAGUUCCGCAAAAACUGUUUCACCGUCAAUACGAAAUCGUAAGAAAGCUGCUAACCGUAAAAGCUUUACCUGGAAAAUGAAAUCAUUGAAUUGUCUCAAUGAUUGCAUAAUAAUUAUAUUGAUAAUGAAUCACUAAUAAACAGAUAUAAUUAUAAAUUAUUGAAGCAUUCGAUUGAUACACAAUUCUGGGAGUAAAUGGUCAAACUGCACUAAGAAUAAAAAGUUAUCGAAAAAACGUAAUGUGGCAUUAUGGAGUGCCAAUGAAAUGUAUGAUCAUCACCAACAAAAAAAAUCACAAACAUGAUUAAACGAACACAAUAGUUUUAGAUCAAACUACCGAUUCAUUCUCUCGGAAAGCAUUGCAAUUGAAUGAAGAAAAUUCUUCCAAUUACGUCAAUUGCUAUCGAAUCAAAAAAUUUAUUUUUCCCACUGUGCGAAGAUUGCACUACGAAAAUAAACGAUUUGAUAACA